rnacentral:rRNA from 1 species
AUUGAACGCUGGCGGCAUGCUUUACACAUGCAAGUCGAACGGCAGCACAGGGAGCUUGCUCCCGGGUGGCGAGUGGCGCACGGGUGAGUAAUACAUCGGAACGUGUCCUGUUGUGGGGGAUAACUGCUCGAAAGGGUGGCUAAUACCGCAUGAGACCUGAGGGUGAAAGCGGGGGAUCGCAAGACCUCGCGCAAUUGGAGCGGCCGAUGCCCGAUUAGCUAGUUGGUGGGGUAAAGGCUCACCAAGGCGACGAUCGGUAGCUGGUCUGAGAGGACGACCAGCCACACUGGGACUGAGACACGGCCCAGACUCCUACGGGAGGCAGCAGUGGGGAAUUUUGCACAAUGGGGGGAAACCCUGAUGCAGCGACGCCGCGUGAGUGAUGAAGUAUUUCGGUAUGUAAAACUCUAUCAGCAGGGAAGAUAAUGACGGUACCUGACUAAGAAGCACCGGCUAAAUACGUGCCAGCAGCCGCGGU